rnacentral:rRNA from 1 species
ACCAGACUCCUACGGGAGGCAGCAGUGGGGAAUAUUGCGCAAUGGGGGAAACCCUGACGCAGCAACGCCGCGUGAGUGAAGAAGUAUCUCGGUAUGUAAAGCUCUAUCAGCGGGGAAGAAGGAAGACGGUACCCGACUAAGAAGCUCCGGCUAACUACGUGCCAGCAGCCGCGGUAAUACGUAGGGAGCAAGCGUUGUCCGGAAUUACUGGGCGUAAAGGGCGCGUAGGUGGGCGCUUAAGUCAGGUGUGAAAACUCCGGGCUCAACCUGGAGACUGCACUUGAAACUGGGUGUCUUGAGGGCAGGAGAGGAAAGUGGAAUUCCUAGUGUAGCGGUGAAAUGCGUAGAUAUUAGGAGGAACACCAGUGGCGAAGGCGACUUUCUGGACUGUACCUGACGCUGAGGCGCGAAAGCGUGGGUAGCGAACGGGAUUAGAUACCCUGGUACCC